rnacentral:rRNA from 1 species
AUCCGGGUUGCGGACAGUGUCUGGUGGGUAGUUUGACUGGGGCGGUCUCCUCCUAAAGAGUAACGGAGGAGCACGAAGGUUGGCUAAUCCUGGUCGGACAUCAGGAGGUUAGUGCAAUGGCAUAAGCCAGCUUGACUGCGAGCGUGACGGCGCGAGCAGGUGCGAAAGCAGGUCAUAGUGAUCCGGUGGUUCUGAAUGGAAGGGCCAUCGCUCAACGGAUAAAAGGUACUCCGGGGAUAACAGGCUGAUACCGCCCAAGAGUUCAUAUCGACGGCGGUGUUUGGCACCUCGAUGUCUGCUCAUCACAUCCUGGGGCUGAAGUAGGUCCCAAGGGUAUGGCUGUUCGCCAUUUAAAGUGGUACGCGAGCUGGGUUUAGAACGUCGUGAGACAGUUCGGUCCCUAUCUGCCGUGGGCGCUGGAGAACUGAGGGGGGCUGCUCCUAGUACGAGAGGACCGGAGUGGACGCAUCACUGGUGUUCGGGUUGUCAUGCCAAUGGCACUGCCCGGUAGCUAAAUGCGGAAGAGAUAAGUGCUGAAAGCAUCUAAGCACGAAACUUGCCCCGAGAUGAGUUCUCCCUGAGACUUAAAGUCUCCUGAAGGAACGUUGAAGACGACGACGUUGAUAGGCCGGGUGUGUAAGCGCAGCGAUGCGUUGAGCUAACCGGUACUAAUGAACCGUGAGGCUUAACCUUACAACGCCGAAG